UAUCUCUGUAGAGUCUGCAUAUCAAUAAGCGGAGGAAAAGAAACUAACAAGGAUUCCCUUAGUAACGGCGAGUGAAGCGGGAAGAGCUCAAAUUUGAAAUCUUCAAGGUUUGACCUUGACGAAUUGUAGUUUAAAGAAGUGUUUUCGGUUAGAGGAGUAGUAAAAGUUCUUUGGAAUAGGACAUCAUAGAGGGUGAGAAUCCCGUAUUUGACUAUUCUUUCUAGCUUUGUGAUACACUUUCAAAGAGUCGGAUUGUUUGGGAAUGCAGUCCAAAAUGGGUGGUAAAUUUCAUCUAAAGCUAAAUAUUGGCGGAGAGACCGAUAGCGAACAAGUACCGUGAGGGAAAGAUGAAAAGAACUUUGAAAAGAGAGUUAAACAGUACGUGAAAUUGUCAAAAGGGAAGCGUUUGACACCAGUGUUGUUUUUCCGAAAAUCAAUUAAAAAUUGAUUCAUGCCAGGUUGUAUUGACCUUAUCAGCUUGCAAUUUGGUUUUGGGUCUCUUUUUGAUGCACUUUUCGGUUAACAAGUCAACAUCAAUUUCCUUUGCUGUAAAAAGGUAAGAGGAAGGUGGCUUCAAUUUCGGUUGAAGUGUUUAUAGCCUUUUAUCUCUGCAGUCGGGGAGAUUGAGGUCUGCAGCGUAGAUCCUUCGGGGCUAGAUACAUUUAUGCUAAGUUAUAGCUUUUCAUAGACAACUUGUUGACUAUGUUUAGUCAUGUAGCUUACUCGUAAGUGCUAUUUUACCUACGCUUAGGAUGUUGAAGACUCUACAGAGAUA
rnacentral:rRNA from 1 species